GAUGAACGCUGGCGGCGUGCUUAACACAUGCAAGUCGAACGAAGCAUUUAAGACAGUUUACUUCGGUUUGAAGUCUUUUAUGACUGAGUGGCGGACGGGUGAGUAACUCGUGGGUAACCUGCCUCAUACAGGGGGAUAGCAGCUGCAAACGGCUGGUAAUACCGCAUAAGCGCACAGUACCACAUGGUACAGUGUGAAAAACUCCGGUGGUAUGGGAUGGACGCGCGUCUGAUUAGCUAGUUGGCGGGGUAACGGCCAACCAAGGCGACGAUCAGUAGCCGACCGGGGAGGGGGACCGACCACAAUGGAGAUGAGACACGGACCAGAAUCGUACGGGAGACAGGAGUGGGGAAUAUUGCACAAUGGAGGAAACUCUGAUGAAGCGACGCCGGGUGAGUGAAGAAGUAGUUCGCUAUGUAAAGCUCUAUCAGCAGGGAAGAUAGUGACGGUACCUGACUAAGAAGCACCGGCUAAAUACGUG
rnacentral:rRNA from 1 species